CAUCCAGUCAUGAUCCAGUGAUCAGAAUGUUCCAUUGUCUUUUCAUUGUUUUAAAAAUCUCACUGUUCUCCAUGUCAUCCAGUCAUGAUCCAGUGAUCAGAAUGUUCCAUUGUCUUUUCAUUGUUUUGAAAAUCUCACUGUUCUCCAUGUCAUCCAGUCAUGAUCCAGUGAUCAGAAUGUUCCAUUGUCUUUUCAUUGUUUUGAAAAUCUCACUGUUCUCCAUGCCAUCCAGUCAUGAUCCAGUGAUCAGAAUGUUCCAUUGUCUUUUCAGUGUUUUGAAAAUCUCACUGUUCUCCAUGCCAUCCAGUCAUGAUCCAGUGAUCAGAAUGUUCCAUUGUC
rnacentral:lncRNA from 1 species